rnacentral:lncRNA from 1 species
CCUACUGGAGGAAACACAAAUAAAUCUCUUUCUCACCUUUCUACAUAUCCUAAAUUUGUCAAGUACUAGGAUCAUUUAACGAGAUAGUAUUAGGCAAUGACUACACACAUGAUAACAACAUCUUAUAUUACACUACGUCACAUCAUGCCACACAUGAUUCACCUCGUUUACGUAUUUGUAGAUAUCCUUCAGAAACACAUAUACAUAUAAUUACAUGACAC